rnacentral:rRNA from 1 species
AUUGAACGCUGGCGGCAGGCCUAACACAUGCAAGUCGAACGAGUGGCGGACGGGUGAGUAAUGUCUGGGAAACUGCCCGAUGGAGGGGGAUAACUACUGGAAACGGUGGCUAAUACCGCAUACUAUCGGAUGUGCCCAUAUGGGAUUAGCUAGUAGGUGGGGUAACGGCUCACCUAGGCGACGAUCCCUAGCUGGUCUGAGAGGAUGACCAGCCACACUGGGACUGAGACACGGUCCAGACUCCUACGGGAGGCAGCAGUGGGGAAUAUUGCACAAUGGGCGCAAGCCUGAUGCAGCCAUGCCGCGUGUAUGAAGAAGGCCUUCGGGUUGUAAAGUACUUUCAGCGAGGAGGCGUUACUCGCAGAAGAAGCACCGGCUAACUCCGUGCCAGCAGCCGCGGUAAUUC